rnacentral:misc_RNA from 1 species
GGAUUUUUAAAAGAUAAAGAGAGUGAGGAGGACUACCGGGAUAGUAGGAGAAGAUAAAAACACUUGAAAUCAAUGUUGUUUUUGAUGCCUUGAUUCUGACAUUCUGUUAUAUUCUUUUUGAUUGAUUCAUAGCUUAGGGCUUGAAUGAGAUAGACUACUGAUCAAUUCAUUUGUCUUCUGUGCAUCACUAGCUCUGGUUGAAGUAGUUGAAAGCAUUAGAUGUUUCUUGAUUGGUGAGAUAAACAUCAUCUUUGGAAACUAUCAAGUAUGGUACACAACUGCGCAUUGCAAUCCCCCAGCUUGAAUCUUUACUACUAUCAUUUCUGUGCUGUAAAAGAAUAAGAAAGGUUGAUAAAAGCAAAUCCUGGUAUAGGAUUUGCUGACCCCAUUUUGUCGCCUGGGAAGCAAUUUUAAACCUGUAAUUGUUAUGUUUGGUUUUUAAGCCUCUCCACUUUUGACUGGCAUGA